rnacentral:rRNA from 1 species
CGCACGGGUGAGUAACACGUAUCCAACCUGCCGUCUACUCUUGGACAGCCUUCUGAAAGGAAGAUUAAUACAAGAUGGCAUCAUGAGUCCGCAUGUCCACAUGAUUAAAGGUAUUCCGGUAGACGAUGGGGAUGCGUUCCAUUAGAUAGUAGGCGGGGUAACGGCCCACCUAGUCUUCGAUGGAUAGGGGUUCUGAGAGGAAGGUCCCCCACAUUGGAACUGAGACACGGUCCAA